rnacentral:rRNA from 1 species
UACGAAGGGGGCUAGCGUUGCUCGGAAUCACUGGGCGUAAAGCGCACGUAGGCGGAUGUGUCAGUCAGGGGUGAAAUCCCGGAGCUCAACUUCGGAACUGCCUCUGAUACAGCACGUCUUGAGUCCGAUAGAGGUGGGUGGAAUUCCUAGUGUAGAGGUGAAAUUCGUAGAUAUUAGGAAGAACACCGGUGGCGAAGGCGGCCCACUGGAUCGGUACUGACGCUGAGGUGCGAAAGCGUGGGGAGCGAACAGG